GAUGAACGCUAGCGGUGUGCUUAACACAUGCAAGUCGAGCGGCAAGGCCCUUCUCUUUUCGUGUCCGCGACCGGCGAACGGGUGAGUAACACGUGUGUAACCUGCCCUUAACUUUGGGAUAACUUCACGAAACUGGGGCUAAUACCGCAUAGAAGCUCCUGCUGCCUGGUGGGGGUUGGUUAGUUUCGGCGGUUGAGGAUGGGCUCGCGGGUUAUCUGCUUGUUUGUGGGGUAUUGGCUUACCACGGCUUUGACGGGUAGCCGGCCUGAGAGGGUGACCGAGCAAAUGAGGACUGAGAUACGGCCCGGAGUCGUACGGGAGGCAGCAGUAGGGAAUAUUGCACAAUGGGCGGAAGCCUGAUGCAGGAUGGCCGCGUGAGGGAUUGCGGCCUUCGGGUUGUAAGCCGCAUACUGCUGUGACGGAACUUGAGUGACGGUAAUGUGUAAAGAAGCACCGGCUAACUACGUG
rnacentral:rRNA from 1 species